rnacentral:rRNA from 1 species
CCUACGGGUAGCAGCAGUCGAGAAUCAUUCACAAUGGGGGAAACCCUGAUGGUGCGACGCCGCGUGGGGGAAUGAAGGUCUUCGGAUUGUAAACCCCUGUCAUGUGGGAGCAAAUUAAAAAGAUAGUACCACAAGAGGAAGAGACGGCUAACUCUGUGCCAGCAGCCGCGGUAAUACAGAGGUCUCAAGCGUUGUUCGGAAUCACUGGGCGUAAAGCGUGCGUAGGCUGUUUCGUAAGUCGUGUGUGAAAGGCGCGGGCUCACCCCGCGGACGGCACAUGAUACUGCGAGACUAGAGUGAUGGAGGGGGAACCGGAAUUCUCGGUGUAGCAGUGAAAUGCGUAGAUAGCGAGAGGAACACUCGUGGCGAAGGCGGGUUCCUGGACAUUAACUGACGCUGAGGCACGAAGGCCAGGGGAGCGAAAGGGAUUAGAUACCCGGGUAGUC